GUUUGGGGUUCCUUAUUUUGAAGAAAAAAGUCCUUUUACAUGCCCAAAAGUCCUUUUUUUGGGUGUUUGCCUUUCCUUUUUUAGCCCAAAAGUCCUUUUCCAAAGGCAAAAGUCAUGUUUUCCUGACUUUUUGUUUCCAAAAGGACUUUUCCAAAAAUUGAAAAUAAGUUAAGCCAAACAUGCCCACUAUCUGAACUUUAAGCUACAAUGGUUAUCAACGACGUCUAGCUUUCUUUUCAAUUUCAUCAUCGACCUGGGUUUAGGGUUUCAAAUAGAGGAUUUCGAUGGAUCUGAAACCCUAAUUCACCAUCCAAAAUGUCUCAAACUGGAAAAUUAAUGCCCAAUCUAGACCAAAACAGCACGAAGAUCCUCAAUCUCACCGUCCCCCAGAGGAUGGACCCGUACAUCAAGGAGAUCUUAAUCACCGUUGCUCAUGUCACCUUCUACGAGUUCAACGUCGACCUCAAUCAUUGGCAAGAUUGUAAUGGUCUGCAAACUGAUUUCAACAAUUAAACCACAAGACAAAGCGGAGCCUCUUGAUGUAAGUCCUGACUAGCCCAACUUUCGAAAGUUAUGAUGAGAGACACAAACUGAGUCACACAUACUGAAAUUUUGGAGAAAAAUACAUAAGAAAAACAUGUCCAACAGGCAACAGUGAUGGAGAAUUGAAGUCUUUAGUAAAAUCCAUACAAUUUUAAGAAGAUUGAAACGUCGAACUUGAUUAUCAAGGAGCUCGCUAAGGAAAAUAAUGAAGAAAAAGAAAUGUAAAAUGAAAUUGUUGGCUGAAAAAGAUAAAGUGGAUGAAGAUGUUAUGCUCAAUAGGAUGUCAUAAAUUGAAGCCAUGUUAAAGUUUCGAUUCGAAGAUAACGAUAAUUUCGAUUAUUUGAUAUUUUAGUUUGUAUUUUUGUUUUAAUGUUUUAUGACUUUGAAAUAGGAAAAACUGAAACAGAAGUUUAUGAUUUUGUAAUUUUAUGGAAUGUUUUAUAUAAAUUUGUAAUUUUAUUGAAA